CCUUUCUCAUAGGGCCAUGAUUAGUGAAGUCAUUGUGUUGAGGUCAUGGGGAAAAAUUGUCUGCCCGGGCCGAGCCAGAUCUGUAAAUUAAGGGUCAAGUCGAGAGGAGUAGUGGAGUCAGACACCAAAUUCACCAGAAAAUCAAAGAUAUCGGUGGCUAUAACAGCCGAGACAACGUCCUCUUUGUGAAGCGUCCUUCUCUUUCUUUGCAUGGCCACCAUCCAAGACCUACGUGUCAAUUCCUCGAUCAAAAGUUCACAAGCCUUGGAAAAUACGAUGGGAGCCUCGCCGGAAAUCAUGUUGACGUUGCCCCCAGACUUUUUCAUGAUCUUCUUUAUCCUCGCCAACGGAAACGAAUGAGGUCCCGUUCUACCUCCGGCGAGUAUUCCCGAAUACAUUCCAGCUUGCCUCAUGUUGAUGAUCUUUUCCUGUGUUUCUAAGGACUCCAGUUAACGUACUUUCUUAGAAUAUUUAGAGGAUGGAGAUGAGCACAUAAAAGCUAUAUAUAUUUAUAGGAUCAGGAGUGUGUUCGGCCGGGGAAGGCUUGCAUGGAGCUGGAAAUGGGCGUGUAGUAGUGGUACAGGUGGCCGGCCAGCCCACUUAAAAGCCGGCUAAAACCCUAUAUAUUAAUUAUAACUCAAUUAUUAAUUUCUAAUAUUUGUUCACA